GUGUAUUUUCCUGUAAGUUAAUGCAAUGCUUGUUGUGGCGCUACAAGCCUGUUUGUUCCUCUUUGCACAAAAGAAUAAAAAAAAAAAAAAAAAUCCACAAAGCUUACCCAACAAUCAUGAAAUCAAAGCCUAAGUUUAUAAUAGUGCAGAUUCCUAUUGAAAUCGGCACUUAUACAAGCUGUCACAAAUAUUACUAGACACCGAACAUAUUAAGCACAUUACUAAGCUGAAGUGCUUCAUGUGAUGGAAUGUUCCUUUUAUCACAAGUCAUACAUUACGCACUGAAAGGAACACACCAAUGACAGAAUUCCAUGUAUUUCUAAUGUUACAGGUACUGCUUAGGUUUUUACAUGUAUAAAUAAAGUAGUUUUACGUACCUUUUCU